rnacentral:lncRNA from 1 species
UCACAGUCCUAUCAGACCUCAUGCAGCACUGCAGCUAUUAUGGACGGAAUCGGUCAUCCAGGAAGCAAAGCUGUAGCUGUUGAGGACUCCUUCAGACCAAGGAGAAGCUGAAGUCUGGGAGUGACCUGUCAGCAAUAAAAAGGGUUUUCUCAUAAAGCCGACAGGUAUAAGGUCCUGUCAGAAUGACUGCUCCUUCAGAAAAAUCCAUUAAUUAACACUUGUCAUCUGUGACAGUCACAGGUAAUUCUCACGCUGACAGGUCUUUGCAUGCGACAAAUGGAUUCCCGUUAUUCCUUUGACAACUGGACCAUGAAAUCUAAUUUUGCCAGGACGGUAAAUGGUAUCACUGUUUAUGCCAGCUUUUGAAAUUCAUCAAAAUGAGCAGAAUGUUCUUGCAGAUGGAGGAAGAAGAAGCUGCAGUGCACAAGGAACACAGGAUUGCUCUUCUCAGGACAAAAAGCAUCUCUCUGACUAAUAGCAGCUAGUAAUUACAAACGGUAAAUUGACCUCACUGGAUAAGACUUGAGGUCACAACAAAAAAAAGAAAUAACCCAAAUUAAACCCAAACCUAAUGAUUCUACAAUUUCACUGACUGAUUUUUAGCCACAAGGAGUUAAUAAAUUAAUGUAUGCUUAAAAAACCAACAGAAAACAACAUUUCCAUCCCUCUCUACUUAUUGUGGGUGUGCAGCCUCAUCUUGAGUAUCGUCUGCCAUUCUGGUCUCCACGACAUAAGAAAGGAUGUUAAGGUCUGUGAAAGCAUCCAGAGGAAGUCAAGGAAGUUUUACGCAGAUAUGGAAUUAACAAUGAUGAUGGGAAAAAGAUGCUGGAGAGAUAUGGAAGAGCUGGAAGAAAUGGUAGGAGGGUAA